CAACUUUCAACAACGGAUCUCUUGGCUCUCGCAUCGAUGAAGAACGCAGCGAAAUGCGAUACGUAAUGUGAAUUGCAGAAUUCAGUGAAUCAUCGAAUCUUUGAACGCACCUUGCGCCCCUUGGCAUUCCGAGGGGCACACCCGUUUGAGUGUCAUGA
rnacentral:rRNA from 2 species